rnacentral:rRNA from 1 species
CCUACGGGAGGCAGCAGUGAGGAAUAUUGGUCAAUGGACGAGAGUCUGAACCAGCCAAGUAGCGUGAAGGAUGACUGCCCUAUGGGUUGUAAACUUCUUUUAUAUGGGAAUAAAACGUUCCACGUGUGGGAUUUUGUAUGUACCAUAUGAAUAAGGAUCGGCUAACUCCGUGCCAGCAGCCGCGGUAAUACGGAGGAUCCGAGCGUUAACCGGAUUUAUUGGGUUUAAAGGGAGCGUAGAUGGAUUGUUAAGGCAGUUGUGAAAGUUUGCGGCUCAACCGUAAAAUUGCAGUUGAAACUGGCAGUCUUGAGUACAGUAGAGGUGGGCGGAAGUCGUGGUGUAGCGGUGAAAUGCUUAGAUAUCACGAAGAACUCCGAGUGCGAAGGCAGUUCACUGGACUGCAACUGACACUGAGGCUCGAAAGUGUGGGUAUCAAACAGGAUUAGAUACCCGAGUAGUC